UUCAUUCGAAAUGGUUUGUUCCCAUUGAAUGAUUUUCUUCUUCUUUCUUUGUUUUUUUCUUUUAGUGAUCUUAAUGGAUGAAGAAAUUGCAGUGGAAAAAUGAAAAUCGAAAUGCAAGUUCAGCUUCUUGACUGGAUCGUUCUAUCGAUCCAGCCAAAAAUUUACUCAAAACCUUGCGAAAGCUAAUUCGCCAGCAUCACUCGUCUGAGUUUCUUGAUUCUGGAUCCUCAGGCCCUUUAAUUGCUGUUUUCGACUCUGAAUCUCUUGCGUAAUAUCAAGUUUUCUUCCAUUUGAAACUGCUUUCAUGAAAGUGUAAAAUGAAAACUGAGCAGUGUUCAUGGAUGGCUGGUCAGGUUAAUUCACGGUUGGCUUCAACAAGAUUUAAACAAAGAGAUCCAGUGGUACCCGGACUCGUAUCCAUCUAUCCAUCUUGCUAAUAUUUGUUUUGCAUCAGGCUAAAUUUGUCGAUGGAUUAUAUACACAGCUUUGCAAUGAAAAUGGUUCAUCACAACGAUUCUUCUUCUGUCUCUCAUUCCAUGCACAGCUUUUGGCAUUCAACAUCGUCUUGAUAAAACAUUUUUCAGACUUAAAGCUAUCACGAGGGAGCAACACAGCAAUUUUGAGCAGUUGAAUCAAAUACCAAUAGCCAAUCACAAGUUUCUGAGAAUGUGUUGCUGCUUCUCCAUUCAGCCCUGAAAUCCAUAUGCUUUCUACAGGUGUUGGGGAAGGUGAUUUACAAAGAGGAAGAGGAGUUACUCACAUUCUUACGUGAAGAGUAGGAUUACUGUUCCUUUUAGUUUCUCUUGUUCUUUUGAACUGGUUCUGAGUUCUGUUCAUGUUCAUGUUUGAAUUAUGUUUGAAUUGUAACAACCUUAAGAGGACCCAUCAACAUGGUGCAAGUGCUCAAAAUUCUCUAAUGUAAGUGACAAGUUUUACCAGAGACCAAUCUAAUAAGGAGAUAUACUGUUUCAAGUGCU